rnacentral:sRNA from 1 species
UCAAAUAGCCUUUAACUAUACAAAUAACACUAGAUUCACUUUACCGAUCUCUGUUAAUCUGAUCUCACAUGUUUUGAUGCCCUGCAUCAAUUCAAAAGUAGAUUGCAUAAGUGUUCAAUACCAAGUAGAAGGAGAUUUUUAUAUUGCUGCCAGCAGCUGCCAAGGUACAAACAGUUCUGGCCACGCCCACGUAUAACGCCCCGCAGUCCAAUAUCUCAAUCUUUUAUUCGUGUGCUAAUCACGAAAAAUUCAAACGAAAACCACAGCAGAGGAGGAGGAGAUCAAGGGAGAGGAGGAGGAGGACAAGGAGCCCAGGGAAGAGCUCGAAUCACGCGCCGUUGAGCAUGCCACAAGCAAAGGAUCAACACAAAGUUAGUGGACUCCAGGCGCGAAUGCCCGACUGGCAUAUACCCUGUAGCUAACUCGAAAGGAAAAUGGGGCAUGAGAAACAAUAAUAUUGUCAAAAAUCUGGUUUCUUGAACACAUCUGAGUUGAUUGUCUGCAAUUCUGCAACAUGAUACCCCAUUCGUCCGCUUCUGGAGGCACAGGGUAUACACAAAAAUUGAGAGUUGGUUAACCAACGGAGAUCUCCUGCGGCGGGGGUAAGCAGAAGUAGCAGCCGCAGCAGAAGCAACAUCAGCCGAUUGUACAACUGAUGAUCGGAAUUAAUUUUGAAACACUUCAAAAGCAGACGACGCCACAGAGUCCACACACGCUCCACAACGGGGAUCACUCGAAAUAAAUUAAUUAAAUAUGCCCAGGCAAAGGCACAGGCAGGCACUGGGCCAGACUAAAACUCAGAGUCCGACUCCGACUUCGACUCUUCUUUCUUUUUGAAUUGUGUAUUGGCACCCUGGAGGCAGGCAGACAGGCAGACAGGCAGAGAGGCCACAAGUUUCAGCAUUGUUUGCGUCAAAUUUUCAAAUUUAGUUGUUAAACCCGAAAAACGAGACUGGCAGCGCUCAAGUACAGUGAAACCAAACAACAGGCGUCGUCGAAAAAGGCAAAUCCUCUCGCACACAGUCCGUAAUUAUGGGUUAUUUCUUUGGGUUAUGCAAUGCCCCGAAAAAUGGCAACACAAAAGGUUCCGUUCAAGAUGCAGCAACAAAGGCUCUGAACAUCAACUGAAUUUAGACAUUAGACGCCUCUCGACCACAUUGCCACUUAUUGGCAAUUGAGCAAAAGGCUCCUGCAGCUCCUACUCCUGCUCCUGCCUGUCGGUCUGUAAGCUAAAAUGUUGCUGCUCUUAGCAGGUAGCCAGGCCAGGGAUCAUGCACUGUUGCCAGCUUUUGCAUCUUUGCGGAUAACCUGUCAUUAGCCCGACCAGCACCAGCCGCAGCAGCAGCAGCAGCCGCAACAACAACAGCCUUCUUUCUGAUUGCUGUUGAUGCGGCUGCAGGCGUUGCUGGUUGCCUGCUUUGAAAUUGAGACAUUUGCAACAGACACUUGCAUUCACUCACACACACACACACACACACAUUUAUAAACACACACGGAUGCAUGCCACCAGCGGGCAUUGCUGUUGCAGCAGCAUGAACAAAAACAAGGCGCAACGUGUUUUGCAUCUUAGAUUUGCUCUGGGGUUGCUUUUGUUGCUGGCCGUGUUUAAAAAUAAUAUUUGUA